UUUCAUUGAAACACUCACUCCCUGAACUUGCUUCCUGACUCUCAGCGUACAUCGUUACAACUCCAACGGACUACCUUUAGGGACUGACGGAGAAGGAUGUACAGGUUUUUGAUCAGGUGAAACUGAACAUGGACAAGCCUCAGGAGAAAUGGAAGGAAAGCUACCGGAGAAGAAUCAAGAAGGGGACCAAGUGCUACGACAUCCGGGCAAAUUACUUGGUUAUUACUUGGUUUGGAAGAAGGACGAAAGGAAGGCGAGACCUGGGAAACCUCGCUGCUCUUUUGCUCCUAGCUGGCGUCACCAUCUGCUGAAGGUUACCUCGUGGAAGCCAACAAUAUUAUGCAGUUGGAUGGUCGACCACUGGAAGCACUGCCGCCCUACACUUCAGUGAAGCCCCAUAGACAAAGAGCUAGGGGUUCUGCCCAACACCCAAACGUGGAUCCACCUGAUGUCCUCCAUUACCAACUACCCUCCAACUUUUCAUUACAUCAUCUACAGCAACUGUUGUUGUCAUGUUGUCAUUAUCUGCUAACAAAGUUAUAAGUUAUUGCUCUAUCAUACUGGGCACAUAAUAGGUGAGAUACACCGAUGAACUAAAAACACUAAGAACAAAGAGAGCAGUAGUACCUGGACUUUGCAGUCUCCCUCUUCAAGCCCCCCUUCUGAGACUGGCUACGUGUUGAGAACAAUUGACAGGCAGAACCUCCCACCCACACAGCAACCACGUUCUCUAUAUUCCACACACCAGAAUUCAGUAUUUUAGUCUAUGGUUGCCAUAUGAGUGCACAAAAUAAUCUGAAAAUAAAUUAAUGA